rnacentral:lncRNA from 1 species
CGCAUUCCUCCUGUGCUCCCUCGCCUUGCUGUCCGCUCUCUGCCGGCCUGGUCUCUCCUUCGAGGAAGAGCUGCUGCCGGGACUCACCUAUGAUGAAGUGCCUGAAAUCCUGGACAGAAGUAAAGACAACCCCAAACAAGCAACAAGAGUCACAUCAAGUCAAGAUGGUGGGUACGGCUUAGAAAGUGAAGAAGUUAUUUUGACGCCUGAAGAUGAAAACCCGCUCAGGAGAAUACUGCAGCCUUUUAACUGGCACCAGCCAGGGAUGUCUCAUAGUAAGAGGAAGCUGCUCCAGUCACUGAUGGGACCUUAUGGCCCACUGAGUGUAUCUUAUAACGGGAAGACCUGCAUUUUGUUUAAAGCAAAGCGCCUGGCAAUCCGCUACAGGAACCACACUUUCAUUGACCUGACCGAGAGGGUCUUUAACCCAAACUCAC